GAUGAAGAACGUAGCGAAAUGCGAUAAGUAGUGUGAAUUGCAGAAUUCAGUGAAUCAUCGAAUCUUUGAACGCACAUUGCGCCCGCCAGUAUUCUGGCGGGCAUGCCUGUCUGAGCGUCAUUUCAACCCUCAUGCCCCUAGGGCGUGGUGUUGGGGAUCGGCCAAAGCCCGCGAGGGACGGCCGACCCCUAAAUCUAGUGGCGGACCCGUCGUGGCCUCCUCUGCGAAGUAGUGAUAUUCCGCAUCGGAGAGCGAUGAGCCCCUGCCGUUAAACCCCCAACUUUCCAAGGUUGACCUCAGAUCAGGUAGGAAUACCCGCUGAACUUAAGCAUAUCAAUAAGCGGAGGA
rnacentral:misc_RNA from 1 species